AAGUCGUAACAAGGUUUCCGUAGGUGAACCUGCGGAAGGAUCAUUACCUUUCAAUGCAGCAGAAUUGGGAUGGUUGAGUAUCUCGCCUCUCCGUUCUGCCUGUAUUCUACCCUUGUUUGUCAUAUACUAUUAUUUCCUCGGCAGGCAAGCCUGCCGAGUGAAACCAUUUAUAACCUUUUUAAUUUUCAAUCAGCGUCUGAAAAAAAUUAAUAAUUACAACUUUCAACAACGGAUCUCUUGGUUCUG
rnacentral:misc_RNA from 1 species